GGGAAGAACGAACCUUGACGUUGCAGUGCA
rnacentral:piRNA from 1 species